AACGAACGUUGGCGGCGUGGAUUAGGCAUGCAAGUCGAGCGAAUCCCCGCAAGGGGGGAAGCGGCGAAAGGGGCAGUAAGGCGUGGGUAACCUACCCCGGGGACUGGUAUAGCCCUUCGAGAGAAGGGGUAAUCCCGGGCGACGUGUCGAGGGGGCAUCCCCUUGCCACCAAAUGAGUUUCGCCCCGGGAGGGGCCCACGUGGUAUUAGCUAGUUGGGGGGGUAACGGCCCACCAAGGCGAAGAUGCCUAGCGGGUGUGAGAGCACGACCCGCGCCACUGGCACUGAGACACUGGCCAGACACCUACGGGUGGCUGCAGUCGAGGAUCUUCGGCAAUGGGCGCAAGCCUGACCGAGCGACGCCGCGUGGGCGAUGAAGGCCUUCGGGUUGUAAAGCCCUGUCGAGGGGGAGAAAGUGGAAACUUGAUCUAUCCCUGGAGGAAGCACGGGCUAAGUUCGUGCCAGCAGCCGCAGUAAAAC
rnacentral:rRNA from 1 species